AUCAGUGAGAAGGCAUCUCCUAACCCGCUAAUCUUUCAUAUAAUCAGUGCCCCAGUUACAGAAAACCCUCCAUGUCUGCAUCACCACUGCCGUCACACCCACUGACUCCCACACCACCUCUGUGCUGCUGUUCACGCCAGGCUGAGACCACGGUGGGCACUAUCCUUCACUCCUCACCCGCUGCCGUCGGCCUUCGUCUCUGCCCCUCUGCCGACACUGCUUUCUCCGCCUUACUAACACUUUCUUUCUUUCUUUCCUUUUUUUUUUUUGCUAAACUCAGAGAUUUUGAAGUGCUAAUCUUUUAUGAUCUAUUUGUCCUGCUUAAAAAUUGUGACUAUGUUUUUAUUUCUUGGUGUGUUUUUUUUGUGCCACUUCUUAGUUUUGCCUCUUUCUGAGGUGAUGGUAUCCUCGAUUCUGUUCCUUUAUUCUUUAGUCUCAACACACCUACCAGGAUGAGCUUAUCCAUAUCCAUGGUGCUGACUGCCCUAUCCUGCUCUCCCCAAAGGUUACUUAAUCCUCAUAUGCUCCGUUUCCUCAUCUGUGAUAUGGGAAUAAGUGGACCUACUUAGUAAGAUGCUGUGAUAAAUGGAUGAGAACACUGGUCAAGCUCCUACUGCAGUUUCCGGAACGCAGUUUGGACACUGUUACAUUGACACUGCUGAGCAGCAACAAUGGAGGAGAGAGUUAGGAAGCUACUACAGGAAUCCAGGGACGAGAAACGGUUGCUUAGACCUGGAUGACAGUGAAAGAGGCAAGAAGUGAUGGAUUCUGGAUGGAUCUGAAGGUAUAGAAUUUGCUGAUCAAUUGGAUGUAGGUAUGAGAGACAAGAGGAGCCAGCAUAACUCCAAAGAUUCAGCAUGAACAACUGGAUAUAUUUUCAAUAUUUGCAUUUUACAGGAAAGAUAACUAGGUAUUAUUCCAAAGCGUAUGGUCUUCCCACAAUGUUUCAUUACUUGAGGAAAAACGCAACUGAAAUUAUGUGCAUAAAGCAUUACCACACAGAUUACAGACUUUUCAUUUUACAAAUGAAGGUUUAAUAAUUGGUAAUAUCACCCUGACUCAUGGGAUUUAUUGUUCAACAAUAAAUUAUUGACACAUAUGGUACAGGCUGGAAAGAGGAUAGGAAAUUUACAGAUGACAGAAUCAUAUCAGGUUAUCUAGGGACACUUGGGUAGAGCUCCACAUUCUUGAGGCGGAUGGCAUGAUAAAUUAUCCAUAGAAUCUCCUUGGAAACCAAUGUUUGACAGAAGGAGAUGGAGAACAGACUUUCCUAUGAUGAGAUAGGCAAACACCGUUUUGCUCUGGCUUCUUCAUUUCAACUAUUUCAAAUAGAAACUUGAAAAAGUAAUUACAAAGAUACUUUUAAGAGCUGUGUUUUGAACAGUCAGCAUAUAUGUAUACCUUUCCAAUUAGUUUUCCAAAAUGUAAAGAUUAACAGGCUCCAAGAAAGGUAUUUAAUUCCUUCAAGCUUUCUCUUUAUAUUGUUUCAUAUGUCCCUGCAAUGUUAAGUUGAUGUUGUUGAGAGAAGAUGUAAUUCUUUUCCACUCUUCUUAUUGGAAACAUUACAUUGGACUUACAGAGUCAAUCUUCUAUCUGGUGUUCUUUGUCUAGACCAGCGGUUCUCAACCUGUGGGUC